GAAGCAUGUCUUGUGUGUUAACGUGCCCCUCCCCUGUUUGCUCAAGGAGAUGAUUUGAUUUUCCCGGUAUAGAACCCAUUGCACUAUUUGUGUAAGAGUAGGGGAAAACCCCGGUGUUGUCUUUCCUUUCCGAAACUUGAUUGGUCAGUUAUCGUCAGCAAUCAUGUUUGUCUCUACCAAUCAAACGCUUCCAUUGUAUCCACGUGAUCCAAUGAUCCACAUCAGGUUGCACUUCUUUAAUUACAUGGAGAUGAAUGUUUGCUCUCUAGGUUGUAAGUGCAAGAUGGGUUUCCGGAGUAGCAGGAAUUGAAAUCAUUUUUAACAAGUUAUAUGUCCGCAGACAAAAGUGGAAGAGCUGCUUAUAGGCCUAUGUUGCAAGGAGAUUGAUAUCUUGUUCAUUAUAUAUGGUUCCAGCUUGCAAAACUCAAGGACUGUAAAAGAACGCAAGCUUCUCGUAGGCCUCAUUGUAUCAUCAUGGCAGAAACGAUGACAGGAGUCGUAAUCGCAUUGACAGUUCUCUGUAGUACCAUCCUUGCAUUUGUCGUUUUCAUCAUUACCUUGUUGGUGUGUAUGAAGGCGAAAAGGUAUCGUAACCUCGAUGAGGAAGCUGACGACGAGCACGAAACCAAACAUAAAAAUACGAGUUCGAAAAGCCCAGCAACACGACGGGAAGCCUGGAGAGGGAACUCUGAUGAACGAGGAGACCCCCGUUUUGCCAUGGCGCGGGAGAAAACUCUCAUUAAAGUUGUGCUACGAGAUCAGAUAGAAUCUGAUACACAUUCACAAAGGUGGUACCUUGAUGACGAGUUACCAAAUGUCGUAGCAUGAUUCAGCGAACAAUUAAGUACUUUCAAUAUUCUAAGCACAAGAGACCAGUCAAACUUGGCUUUUCCUUGGCAAUUUGACAUUUUGAGUGUCCGUGAGGGAGGGGUUGACUGCUACCUCUUGAUGCUUCGACACCGAACAAUGUUUUGAAAUUAUUAUGA